GAUGAACGCUGACAGAAUGCUUAACACAUGCAAGUCUACUUGAAUUUGGGUUUUUAACUUAGAUUUGGGUGGCGGACGGGUGAGUAACGCGUAAAGAACUUGCCUCACAGCUAGGGACAACAUUUAGAAAUGAGUGCUAAUACCUAAUAUUAUGAUAAUAGGGCAUCCUAUAAUUAUGAAAGCUAUAUGCGCUGUGAGAGAGCUUUGCGUCCCAUUAGCUAGUUGGAGAGGUAACAGCUCACCAAGGCGAUGAUGGGUAGCCGGCCUGAGAGGGUGAUCGGCCACAAGGGGACUGAGACACGGCCCUUACUCCUACGGGAGGCAGCAGUGGGGAAUAUUGGACAAUGGACCGAGAGUCUGAUCCAGCAAUUCUGUGUGCACGAUGAAGUUUUUCGGAAUGUAAAGUGCUUUCAGUUGGGAAGAAAGAAAUGACGGUACCAACAGAAGAAGUGACGGCUAAAUACGUGCCAGCAGCCGCGGUAAUACGUAUGUCACGAGCGUUAUCCGGAUUUAUUGGGCGUAAAGCGCGUCUAGGUGGUUAUAUAAGUCUGAUGUGAAAAUGCAGGGCUCAACUCUGUAUUGCGUUGGAAACUGUAUAACUAGAGUACUGGAGAGGUAAGCGGAACUACAAGUGUAGAGGUGAAAUUCGUAGAUAUUUGUAGGAAUGCCGAUGGGGAAGCCAGCUUACUGGACAGAUACUGACGCUGAAGCGCGAAAGCGUGGGUAGCAAACAGG
rnacentral:rRNA from 1 species